CCUACGGGUGACAGCAGUAGGGAAUCUUUCACAAUGGGCGAAAGCCUGAUGGAGCAACGCCGCGUGCAGGAUGAAGGCCUUCGGGUUGUAAACUGCUUUUAUAAGCGAGAAAUAUGAUGGUAACUUAUGAAUAAGGAUCGGCUAACUACGUGCCAGCAGCCGCGGUCAUACGUAGGAUCCGAGCAUUAUCCGGAGUGACUGGGUGUAAAGAGUUGCGUAGGUGACAUAAUAAGUAGCUAGUGAAAUCUGGUGGCUCAACCAUUCAGACUAUUAGCUAAACUGUUAAGCUCGAGACCGUUAGGGGUAACUGGAAUUUCUAGUGUAGGAGUGAAAUCCGUAGAUAUUAGAAGGAACACCAAUAGCGUAGGCAGGUUGCUGGGACGGUUCUGACACUAAGGCACGAAAGCGUAGGGAGCAAACGGGAUUAGAUACCCGAGUAGUC
rnacentral:rRNA from 1 species